rnacentral:rRNA from 1 species
GUGGGGAAUAUUGGACAAUGGGCGAAAGCCUGAUCCAGCCAUGCCGCGUGUGUGAAGAAGGUCUUCGGAUUGUAAAGCACUUUAAGUUGGGAGGAAGGGCAGUAAGUUAAUACCUUGCUGUUUUGACGUUACCGACAGAAUAAGCACCGGCUAACUUCGUGCCAGCAGCCGCGGUAAUACGAAGGGUGCAAGCGUUAAUCGGAAUUACUGGGCGUAAAGCGCGCGUAGGUGGUUUUGUAAGUUGGAGGUGAAAUCCCCGGGCUCAACCUGGGAACUGCCUCCAAAACUGCAUGACUAGAGUACGGUAGAGGGUAGUGGAAUUUCCUGUGUAGCGGUCAAAUGCGUAGAUAUAGGAAGGAACACCAGUGGCGAAGGCGACUACCUGGACUGAUACUGACACUGAGGUGCGAAAGCGUGGGGAGCAAACAGGAUUAGAUACCCUUGUAGUCC